rnacentral:rRNA from 1 species
UUUGAUCUUGGCUCCGGAUGAACGCUGGCGGCGUGCCUAACACAUGCAAGUCGAACGAAGCACCUUUUGAGAUUCUUCGGAUGAUUGAUCGGUGACUGAGUGGCGGACGGGUGAGUAACGCGUGGGUAACCUGCCCUGUACAGGGGGAUAACAGCUGGAAACGGCUGCUAAUACCGCAUAAGCGCACGAGGAGACAUCUCCUUGUGUGAAAAACUCCGGUGGUACAGGAUGGGCCCGCGUCUGAUUAGCUGGUUGGCAGGGUAACGGCCUACCAAGGCAACGAUCAGUAGCCGGUCUGAGAGGAUGAACGGCCACAUUGGAACUGAGACACGGUCCAAACUCCUACGGGAGGCAGCAGUGGGGAAUAUUGCACAAUGGGGAAACCCUGAUGCAGCAACGCCGCGUGAGUGAAGAAGUAUUUCGGUAUGUAAAGCUCUAUCAGCAGGGAAGAUAAUGACGGUACCUGACUAAGAAGCUCCGGCUAAAUACGUGCCAGCAGCCGCGGUAAUACGUAUGGAGCAAGCGUUAUCCGGAUUUACUGGGUGUAAAGGGUGCGUAGGUGGCAGUGCAAGUCAGAUGUGAAAGGCCGGGGCUCAACCCCGGAGCUGCAUUUGAAACUGCAUAGCUAGAGUACAGGAGAGGCAGGCGGAAUUCCUAGUGUAGCGGUGAAAUGCGUAGAUAUUAGGAGGAACACCAGUGGCGAAGGCGGCCUGCUGGACUGUUACUGACACUGAGGCACGAAAGCGUGGGGAGCAAACAGGAUUAGAUACCCUGGUAGUCCACGCCGUAAACGAUGAAUAAUAGGU